CCCUGACAGAUGCACUAAGUAUCUGACUUAACCCAGACAGGAGAUCAACAUG
rnacentral:ncRNA from 1 species